GUAGGUGGCAAGCGUUGUCCGGAAUUAUUGGGCGUAAAGCGCGCGCAGGCGGUUCUUUAAGUCUGAUGUGAAAGCCCACGGCUCAACCGUGGAGGGUCAUUGGAAACUGGAGAACUUGAGUACAGAAGAGGAAAGCGGAAUUCCACGUGUAGCGGUGAAAUGCGUAGAGAUGUGGAGGAACACCAGUGGCGAAGGCGGCUUUCUGGUCUGUAACUGACGCUGAGGCGCGAAAGCGUGGGGAGCAAACAGGAUUAGAUACCCUGGUAGUCCACGCCGUAAACGAUGAGUGCUAAGUGUUAGGGGGGUUUUCCGCCCCCCUUAGUGCUGCAGCUAACGCAUUAAGCACUCCGCCUGGGAGUACGGCCGCAAGGCCG
rnacentral:rRNA from 1 species